rnacentral:rRNA from 1 species
AUUGAACGCUGGCGGAAUGCUUUACACAUGCAAGUCGAACGGCAGCACGGACUUCGGUCUGGUGGCGAGUGGCGAACGGGUGAGUAACAUAUCGGAACGUAUCCAAUAAUGGGGGAUAACUAAUCGAAAGGUUGGCUAAUACAGCAUACGCCCUACGGGGGAAAGCUAGGGACCUUCGGGCCUGGCGUUAAUGGAGCGGCCGAUAUCUGAUUAGCUAGUUGGUGAGGUAAAGGCUCACCAAGGCGACGAUCAGUAGCUGGUCUGAGAGGACGACCAGCCACACUGGAACUGAGACACGGUCCAGACUCCUACGGGAGGCAGCAGUGGGGGAUUUUGGACAAUGGGCGCAAGCCUGAUCCAGCCAUUCCGCGUGAGUGAAGAAGGCCUUCGGGUUGUAAAGCUCUUUCGCAAGGGAAGAAAACUUACCCUCUAACAUAGGGUGAGGUUGACGGUACCUUGAUAAGAAGCACCGGCUAACUACGUGCCAGCAGCCGCAGUAACAC